UACGAAGGGGGCUAGCGUUGUUCGGAAUUACUGGGCGUAAAGCGCGCGCAGGCGGUCUUCCAAGUCAGUGGUGAAAGCCCGGAGCUCAACUCCGGAACUGCCAUUGAAACUGUAAGACUUGAGGAUAGAGAGGUGAGUGAAUUCCCCAGUGUAGAGGUGAAAUUCGUAGAUAUUAGGAAGAACACCGAGUGGCGAAGGCGGCUCACUGGUCCGGUACUGACGCUGGAGGUGCGAAA
rnacentral:rRNA from 1 species